AUGCGUGUACCCCUAACCUUGUAAUACAUCUGAUCAAACGCAACAAAGUUUAUCAGGCUUGAGACGAGCUUGUAGCAAUACACCGGGAGUUUCCGCGUCCACCGAGACAAGCCAAGUCGCUACGUUCCGUCCAGAUCGUGUCGUUCGUAGCUGGUCAAAGAUAGGAUCCGGCUAUACAUGCACGUACGUACGUGGGCUGGGAAUCCAUCCACCUGCCUGCUUGCUAGCUUAUAAGCUAGCUUGCAUGUACGUGGAAGGGUUUUUUUUAGGAUCCAAAGCCAACAAUGGCCGGCUUCGAGCACGUGGAAAUUGCAAUGGCGAACAGCAACAGCGACGAAAGGUUGUUUUCUACCUUAAGCUGCAGCGUGUGAGGUAGUAAUUCGUAGGUUGGCUACUAAAUUCUAAACAUGAAGUAGAGACUUGACAGUGGGAACAAGAUAUAAUCGUUCUUGCCCUGGAGUUCAUCGUUUCCCCUAGUUUCCCGAUGCCUCCUUUUCCUAUAAAAUCUUUGAUUUGUGUACAAUUAAGUAUUCUCAUGCGGUAGUGGUUGCACUUGCACACACAAUAGAUUGGACACUUGCACGCAUACAUAAAGUAGGGCAAACUAAAUUGUGAAUUUCAUAUACACGCCGACUAUAUAUAGGCACACACCUCAGGAGUACUGUACAACAGGUAAACCCAAUUAAUGUGUUUAAUUACUAGCUUGUCUUGCAGCUGGUUGGUUUCAAUAUUCCUUAGCCUCUUCACACCCCCCUAGUGUACUCCCUCUAUCCAUAUAUAUAGGGUCUGAUGCAUUUUUCGAGGCUAACUUUGACCAUAUGUUAGAGCAAUAAUAUAUGACAUGCAAGUUACAUAAAGCAUGUCUUCAAAUUCAUACGUGAAAGGAAUUUUCAGAGAUAUAAUUUUCACAUUAUACAUUUCAUAUAUUAUUAAUCUUAUCAAUAGUCAAAGGCAAUGUCGAAAAAUGCAUUAGGCCUUAUAUAUAUGGAUGGAGGGAGUAUCCAUAUUAAAAUCACACGCAAAAGCACAUUUACGUGAUUUAAUGAAUCCCUAAACCCAGAAACAUUUACCACUAUCUUUUCUUAAAAAUGGGUGAUUCCAUAUUGAAUAUCUUCUUUGCGUGUGUUUUGAAUUCUUAGAGGAUCCUGAGAGAAAAAGAGAGGACAAUACUAAGAAGACUAGGCUCCUAAAGGUUUCAUUUUCUGUUAUUUUUUGGAAAAUUUUACUGCUGUGUAAAAAUGGGAUGAGUUUGUGGUAUCCGGACCUGUCAAGCUACGUCUGGUGGGACGGUUUGCACUUGACAAUUAAUGCCAUGGUGCGGACAUAUGAAUGAUUACUACGGAAUUUGUUUUACAUGGUGAGGUGGCGGUUUUUGUUGGUAAUGGCAUGUAGGGUGGUGGAUGAUACGCCUUUGUUUUAAUCCAGUCCUAAAAUUCAGUGAUGACAAUAAAAAACGAGGUGUGCUUGGUACCCCAACACACAAAACAUACAAAGAAGAACGUA
rnacentral:lncRNA from 1 species